CAAUGUAAAGGCUUCAAGGAAGACCUUCGAGGUGCCAUAGCUGUAGCUCGAGUAAGUCCACGACCUUUUGGAGGUGGAGGUGCUGAAGCAGUAGGUCCUUUAGCACCUAAAGGUGGUGGCGGAGGUGGUGCACCACCCGGUGGUCUAGGUGGAGCACGAGCUCCUGGUGGUGGAGGCGGAGCUGGAGCUCCACGCAGUGGAGGAGGUGGGGGAGGUGGCCCCCCACCAGCAGGAGGAGGUGGAGGUGGUGGGGGAGGUGGCCCCCCACCAGCAGGAGGAGGUGGAGGUGGUGGGGCUCCACGCAUUGGAGGAGGUGGCGGUGGUGGUGCCCCACGCUCUGGAGGAGGUGGCGGAGGAGGGGCACCGUGUGUUGGUGGAGGUGGUGGUGGAGGCGGUAUUCCAUGAAUUAAGGGAGGCGGUGGAGUUGGAGCUCUAAUUGUUGGUGGUGGAGGUGGAGGUGGAGUUCCUUGUAAAGGGGGUGGGGGUGGAGCUCUAUGCAUAGGAGGUGGUGGAGAAGGAGCUCCAAGCUUGGGAGGGGAGGGGAGGGGGAGGUGGUGGAGGUGGAGGCGGAGUAGGAAUCCCAACUCCUAUAGGUUUUGAUGCACCGGUAAAAGGCGGUGGUUGGGAAGGGGGCGAAGGAAUUGACAAUUUAGCUGGAGCAACCACAACAUUCCCAGAAUUCCAAGGGGGAGGUGGUGGCGGAGGUGGUAAAACAAUCCCACUAUUCUGUCGACUAGAUGAAGAGGGAAUUGGAGGGGGAGGAGGUGGGGGUGGUGGCGGUCCACGGUUCAAG
rnacentral:lncRNA from 1 species